GCGGGCGUAGUUUAAUGGUAGAACAUGAGCUUCCCAAGCUCAGAGCGCGGGUUCGAUUCCCGUCGCCCGCUC
rnacentral:tRNA from 1 species